UACAGAGGCCAAGAGCGUUGUUCGGAUUUACUGGGCGUAAAGGGCGCGUAGGCGGCGAGGCGUGUCGGAUGUGAAAUCUCCGGGCUCAACCCGGAAAGUGCGUCCGAAACUACCUUGCUGGAGUCCGGGAGAGGGAAUCGGAAUACAGGGUGUAGCGGUGAAAUGCGUUGAUAUCCUGUAGAACACCGGAGGCGAAGGCGGAUUCCUUGAACGGUACUGACGCUGAGGCGCGAAAGUCGGGGGAGCAAAC
rnacentral:rRNA from 1 species